AUUGAACGCUGGCGGCAGGCCUAACACAUGCAAGUCGAGCGGGGUUUUCGGACCUAGCGGCGGACGGGUGAGUAAUGCGUAGGAAGCUGCCCGAUAGAGGGGGAUACCAGUUGGAAACGACUGUUAAUACCGCAUAAUGUCUACGGACCAAAGUGUGGGACCUUCGGGCCACAUGCUAUCGGAUGCGCCUACGUGGGAUUAGCUAGUUGGUGAGGUAAUGGCUCACCAAGGCGACGAUCUCUAGCUGGUUUGAGAGGACGACCAGCCACACUGGGACUGAGACACGGCCCAGACUCCUACGGGAGGCAGCAGUGGGGAAUAUUGCACAAUGGGCGCAAGCCUGAUGCAGCCAUGCCGCGUGUGUGAAGAAGGCCUUCGGGUUGUAAAGCACUUUCAGCGGGGAGGAAGGCAAUACGGUUAAUAACCGUGUUGAUUGACGUUACCCGCAGAAGAAGCACCGGCUAACUCCGUGCCAGCCGCCGCGGUAAAAC
rnacentral:rRNA from 1 species